AAGGAGGUGGCAGAUUGGUUGUGUGGUUGACUUGAAAUCAAAAUAUAGGGGUUCGAUUCCCUUUUUCCUUGAGUAUG
rnacentral:tRNA from 1 species